CAAAGCAUUUCUCUCCUGACUUGCCUGCUAAAUAGGGUGUGUCAGAAAAGGCUUUUUUUGUAGCAUAAGAUAAAUGCUCUUGCAUGAGGUGUUGACGGUCAGUUGUUUUACCAGUUCAAAGGGAGAAAACCAAACCAGGCUGACGGUGACGGUGACGCUCCUUUCAGCGAGGCUUGGUGUUUCCCAGUCCAGCUUGCUGAACCUCCAGCUCUGACCAUGGCAUGUUCUUUGUUCCAGCUCUGGCUCUGAGAUGUUCCAGUUGAUGGCUGCUCCAGUUCCUUCCAGGUCCCUGAGGUGGGUUCCUAUCUCUGCAGUCACCGAUGCUACCAAUUUUCCUGGAGUCUACCAUUUGAUGUUGAAGAGCAGCAGCUGGAAGAUGUGUUGAAGCAUCCUCUUCGGUGUAGUGUUUCAAGCAGGGGUUGUAGUCAGCAUGUCAGCUGAGGAGUGUGUGACAGUGGGAGCGUGUGAGUGUCCGUGUGUGUCUGUGAGAGUUUGUGUCUGUCUGCUGCUGCUCAUGUCUGCCUG